rnacentral:lncRNA from 1 species
UUUUUCGCCAAUCUCCUGACAUAGAAUUUCAACACUAUAGAAUUUUGUGAAAAUGUUAGAAUCCCGUUACACAUCCGCAUCAUCAACUAUAUAUAUCGUACAUAUCUGCAAUUUACAUUCUUACGGAACAAAAUGAAAAAAUCUAAAUGAUUUGCAUAUUAUGUUUUUAUUAUGGAGCAAAUAAUCUCAAAUAUACUUUUUAUCAGCAGCAGACCUAUUACAAAUAUAAAAUUAGCAACCCAACUAACCUGGUUUUUGUUUUCCGCCAUCUCCUUCAAGUGUACCUUCAUUAGUUUUAAUUUCAUCUCCAAUCAAUGCAACUAGAUUUCGUAAUUGCAAUUUUUUUAGGCACAUCAUAUGGAACAUGAUGCUUUAUCUUCAACAGUAAACAAGAACACAAACUUACCGCCCUUGUUUAUUUCUCCAGUAAGUGAACUAGCUUGUUGUACCAUCAAUGUCUGCUUUGUUGAAUUGACUGCAGCUGUACGUGUGCAUGUACCUUGCCUAGAGCCACAUGCCCCACUUAACCCAGCACCAAACAAAC